UGGGGAAUAUUGCACAAUGGGCGGAAGCCUGAUGCAGCGACGCCGCGUGAGGGACGAAGGCCUUCUGGGUUGUAAACCUCUUCAGCAGGGACGAAGCGAAAGUGACGGUACCUGCAGAAGAAGCACCGGCCAACUACGUGCCAGCAGCCGCGGUAAUACGUAGGGUGCAAGCGUUGUCCGGAAUUAUUGGGCGUAAAGAGCUCGUAGGCGGUUCGUCGCGUCGGCUGUGAAAUCCCGGAGCUCAACUCCGGGUCUGCAGUCGAUACGGGCGGACUUGAGUUCGGCAGGGGAGACUGGAAUUCCUGGUGUAGCGGUGAAAUGCGCAGAUAUCAGGAGGAACACCGGUGGCGAAGGCGGGUCUCUGGGCCGAUACUGACGCUGAGGAGCGAAAGCGUGGGGAGCGAACAGGAUUAGAUACC
rnacentral:rRNA from 1 species